GACGAACGCUGGCGGCGUGCUUAACACAUGCAAGUCGAACGGAAAGGCCCUGCUUUUGUGGGGUGCUCGAGUGGCGAACGGGUGAGUAACACGUGAGUAACCUGCCCUUGACUUUGGGAUAACUUCAGGAAACUGGGGCUAAUACCGGAUAGGAGCUCCUGCUGCAUGGUGGGGGUUGGAAAGUUUCGGCGGUUGGGGCUGGACUCGCGGCUUAUCAGCUUGUUGGUGGGGUAGUGGCUUACCAAGGCUUUGACGGGUAGCCGGCCUGAGAGGGUGACCGGCCACAUUGGGACUGAGAUACGGCCCAGACUCCUACGGGAGGCAGCAGUGGGGAAUAUUGCGCAAUGGGCGGAAGCCUGAGACAGCAACGCCGCGUGCGGGAUGACGGCCUUCGGGUUGUAAACCGCUUUCGCCUGUGACGAAGCGUGAGUGACGGUAAUGGGUAAAGAAGCACCGGCUAACUACGUG
rnacentral:rRNA from 1 species